rnacentral:rRNA from 1 species
CCCGCUGAACUUAAGCAUAUCAAUAAGCGGAGGAAAAGAAACUAACAAGGAUUCCCCUAGUAACUGCGAGUGAAGCGGGAAAAGCUCAAAUUUGAAAUCUGGCGGUUCUUGACCGUCCGAGUUGUAAUCUAGAGAAGUGUUACCUGUGCUGGACCGUGUACAAGUCUCCUGGAAUGGAGCAUCAUAGAGGGUGAGAAUCCCGUCUUUGACACGGACUGCCAGGGCUAUGUGAUGCGCUCUCGACGAGUCGAGUUGUUUGGGAAUGCAGCUCAAAUAGGGUGGUAAAUUCCAUCUAAAGCUAAAUACAGGCGAGAGACCGAUAGCGAACAAGUACCGUGAGGGAAAGAUGAAAAGAACUUUGGAAAGAGAGUUAAACAGUACGUGAAAUUGCUGAAAGGGAAACGCUUGAAGUCAGUCGCGUUGGCUAGAAAUCAACCUUGCUUUUGCUUUGUGUACUUUCUGGUUGACGGGUCAGCAUCAAUUUUGACCACUGGAUAAAGUCUUUGGGAAUGUGGCAUCUUCGGAUGUGUUAUAGCCCAUUGUCGCAUACGGUGGUUGGGAUUGAGGAACUCAGCACGCCGCAAGGCCGGGAUUUGACCACGUUCGUGCUUAGGAUGCUGGCAUAAUGGCUUUAAUCGACCCGUCUUGAAACACGG